UACGAGGGGGGCGAGCGUUGUUCGGAAUUAUUGGGCGUAAAGAGCUCGUAGGCGGUCUGUCGCGUCGGCUGUGAAAUCCCGAGGCUCAACCUCGGGUCUGCAGUCGAUACGGGCAAACUGGAGUGUUGCAGGGGAGACUGGAAUUCCUGGUGUAGCGGUGAAAUGCGCAGAUAUCAGGAGGAACACCGGUGGCGAAGGCGGGUCUCUGGGCAACAACUGACGCUGAGGAGCGAAAGCGUGGGGAGCGAACAGG
rnacentral:rRNA from 1 species